AGUUUGAUCGUGGCUCAGGACAAACGCUGGCGGCGUGCCUAAUAAUGUUUUUUAGAGCGAGCUUGCCUAGAUGAUUUGGUGCUUGCACCAGAUCAAACUAGAUACAAGCGAGCGGGGGAAGGGUGAGUAACCCGUGUGUCCCCUGCCCGAGAGACUGGGAUAACACCUGGAAACAGAUGCUUGUACUGGAUAACAACACUAGACUCAUGUCUAGAAUUUAAAAUUUGGUUCUGCUUUCCCCUUGGAUGGACCUGCGCGCAUUUACUAGUGUUGAGGCAUCGGCUUACCAAGGCAAUGAUGCAUAGACUAGUUGAAAGGCUGAUCCCCCCUGUUGGGAAUGAACCAUGGCCCAACCUCCUACGGGAGGCAGCAUGAGGGAAUCUUCUUCAAAGGACGCAUGUC
rnacentral:rRNA from 1 species